GGCAUGCAAGUCGCGCGACAAGCCAUUUUUAGCUUGCUAUUAAUGGUGGAGGAGCGGCGUAAGGGAGAGUAACGGGUGGAUUAUCUACCCUCAGGUCUGGGAUAGCCACGGGAAACUGUGGGUAAUACCGGAUAAUAUCUGCGGAUCAAAGGUGUGAUUCCGCCUGGGGAUGAGUCCGCCUCCUAUUAGCUUGUUGGUGGGGUAACGGCCUACCAAGGCUACGAUGGGUACCGGGUGUGAGAGCAUGGCCCGGCUCACUGGGACUGAGACACUGCCCAGACACCUACGGGUGGCUGCAGUCGAGAAUCUUCGGCAAUGGGCGCAAGCCUGACCGAGCGAUGCCGCGUGCGGGAUGAAGGCCUUCGGGUUGCAAACCGCUGUCAGUAGGGAGGAAAUGUAUGGGGGUCAUCCCCCAUGCUUGACCUAUCUUCAGAGGAAGGACGGGCUAAGUUCGUGCCAGCAGCCGCGGUAAGACGAACCGUCCAAACGUUAUUCGGAAUUACUGGGCUUAAAGGGUGCGUAGGCGGCGCGGUCAGUCGGAUGUGAAAUCGUACAGCUCAACUGUACAACUGCGUCCGAAACUACCGUGCUUGAGGAAGGCAGAGGUGAGCGGAACUCAGGGUGGAGCGGUGAAAUGCGUUGAUAUCCUGG
rnacentral:rRNA from 1 species